UUAAGAAUUAAUUACUUAUUAUUAUAGUUUAUUUAAUUAUUAUUAUAAAUAAUUUUUUGAUUUUGGGUUAUUGUAUUUUUUAAAAAUGGAAUUUAUUAAGUGAUAGUGAAUUAGUACAGGGAUGGAAUUGUGAAGUAAUAGUUAAUAUUUGAUAAGUAAAAUUUUUUAUUUGUACCUUUUGUAUCAGGGUUUAUUAAAAAAAGUGUUAUUUAUUUAAAUUUCUCGAAUUUGAUGGAGCUAAUUUAUUAUGAUUUUUAUUGUUUUAUAAAUAUUUGUAAUAGUUAAUUUGUAAUGAAAUGUUAGUCGUUUUCAAAGAUAUCUAGUUCUUAAAGAAUUAAAUUUAAUUUACAUUUUAUUAGUUAUUAUUUUUAUAUAAGAAUUUUUGAUUAAUUAAAAUGAAUAUAGGUCGGGAUGAGCUGAUUUAUUUAUAGUAUAAUUUUUUUUAUUUAAUAAAAUGAAUAGGGUUAAUAAUUUUUAUUUUUAAUUAAAUUGUUAUAAUUAAUUAGUUAAUAAAAAUAUUUAUAAGAAUUUAUGUUGUGUAUUUAAGUAUAGUAAUAAAUUUUGUUUACUAGGGAUUAUGAUAUAAUUAGUAUUAAUUUAUGUAAUGUGUAAUAAUAAUAUUUAGAUUAAAAUAAGGAAUUAGGCAAUUUAUUAAUUCACCUGUUUAUCAAAAACAUGUCUUUUGGAAAAUAAUCUAAAGUCUAGCCUGCCCACUGAAUUUUGAAGGGCCGCAGUAUUUUGACUGUGCAAAGGUAGCAUAAUCAUUUGUCUCUUAAUUGGAGACUGGAAUGAAUGGUUGGAUGAGAUUAAAACUGUCUCAUUUUAAUAAAUAUAAUAAUUUAUUUUUUUAGUUAAAAAACUAAAAUAAAUAAGAAAGACGAGAAGACCCUAUAGAGUUUUAUAUAUUUAUUUGAUAAGUUAAUUAGUAGAAAAUUUUAUUUAUUUUAAAAUAUAUUUGGUUGGGGUGAUCAGAAAGUAAUAAAAACCUUUCUUCUAUUAAACAUUUAUUUAUGAUAAAAUGAUCCGUGUGUAACGAUUAUAAGAUUAAAUUACCUUAGGGAUAACAGCGCAAUUUUUCUACAGAGUUCUUAUUUAUAGAAGAGAUUGCGACCUCGAUGUUGAAUUAAAAUUAACUUAGAAUGCAGGAGUUUUAGGGUUAAGUCUGUUCGACUUUUAGAAUUUUACAUGAUUUGAGUUCAGACCGGCGUGAGCCAGGUCGGUUUCUAUCUUUUUAUAGUUAAAUUAUAUUAGUACGAAAGGACCAUAUAUAAAAAAUAUUUUUUAUAGGAGAAUAAUAUUA
rnacentral:rRNA from 1 species